rnacentral:tRNA from 1 species
AUCUUGUUGGUUUAGUCAUUAGAACAUGUGACUCUUGAUCUCAGGGUUGUGAGUUUGAGUCCCACUCUGGGUG